GACAGAGGAUGCAAGCGUUAUCCGGAAUGAUUGGCGUAAAGCGUCUGUAGGUGGCUUUUAAGUCCGCCGUCAAAUCCCAGGGCUCAACCCUGGACAGGCGGUGGAAACUACCAAGCUGGAGUACGGUAGGGCAGAGGGAAUUCCGGUGGAGCGGUGAAAUGCGUAGAGAUCGGAAAGAACACCAACGGCGAAAGCACUCUGCUGGGCCGACACUGACACUGAGAGACGAAAGCUAGGGGAGCGAAUGGG
rnacentral:rRNA from 1 species